rnacentral:rRNA from 1 species
GCACAAGCGGUGGAGCAUGUGUUUAUCGAAGCAACGCGAAGAACCUUUACCAGGUCUUGACAUCCCGAUGCUAUUUCUAGAGAUAGAAAGUUACUUCGGUACAUCGGUGACAGGUGGUGCAUGGUUGUCGUCAGCUCGUGUCGUGAGAUGUUGGGUUAAGUCCCGCAACGAGCGCAACCCCUAUUGUUAGUUGCCAUCAUUCAGUUGGGCACUCUAGCGAGACUGCCGGUAAUAACCGGAGGAAGGUGGGAUGACGUCAAAUCAUCAUGCCCCUUAUGACCUGGGCUACACACGUGCUACAAUGGUUGGUACAACGAGUUGCGAGUCGGUGACGGCGAGCUAAUCUCUUAAAGCCAAUCUCAGUUCGGAUUGUAGGCUGCAACUCGCCUACAUGAAGUCGGAAUCGCUAGUAAUCGCGGAUCAGCACGCCGCGGUGAAUACGUUCCCGGGCCUU